rnacentral:lncRNA from 1 species
GUGAGUGUGAGAGCAAGAACAGCCCGCAGGUCCCGAGGCGCUUGCAGGGGACUCUGCCGCGGAAAGUUCCCAGUCCCCAGCCGCAGAAGCUUUUUAUUUUUGGUUGAUUCCUGCUGUCUACUCCUCUUGGAUGCCUUUGUGAAACUGCUUCUAUCUGAGAAGGAGGAGUUGCCAUUUAGCAAGUAGUAGGUGGUACCGUGUGUGGCAGAGUCCGAUGUGUUACACCACGAGGACAUUCAUCUUUGCAAUUGGUGAAGUCCUUCUACCUAGUUCCCCUUCCUUGUGCACAGAAGAGGACUGGAAAACUCCUCACAGGACUGCAUACUGCUAUCUCUGAGAAACCAGAAAGAAGAAAGUACCUCUUCCUUCCAAGCUUCUACCUAAGAGUAUACUGGAAGGUUUACCUAGAGCAACAAGACAACGAAAUGGAUUGUCCUUCUCACGCUAGUCCACACACAAUCCUCAUCAUUUUGAUAAGAUAGCAUGAAGUCUCUUAUCGCUUGUGGAUCCAGCACUUUGGUUCAGUUUGGACAUGCACAUUCCGGAAAGAUUUGACUGAUUGCAUACCCAGCAUUAUAAUGUCUCCUAGAGUAUCUUUCCUAUGAGAAACAGCAAGUUGGAGAGGAAAGAGUUUAUUCAGCUUGCACUUUCAUACUGCUGUUCAUCACCAAGGAAGUCAGGACUGGAACUCAAGCAGGUUCAUCUGCCCAUAAUUCUCUAAGAUUUGGAGCUGUUGAGGAGUGGCUCAUAGUAGACACUGAACCAUCAGCCAACAGCAUUUGUUGUCCUGGAUGUCUGUGCCAACCUUUCGAGUCACACUGGGGUCUAAAGACACACCUGGAAUAAAAAUCAGAAUGCUUAAGAAACUUAAUAUGAUCUGCGGGAGAAUACAUGAGGUUUUUGUUUCAUACCACAGUCUGAUGACAGCAUGGAUUUCAACUGAUGAUGUUCACCUUUGCCUCUUGGGUAUGUUGACCUCACAGUCGUCCCCUGAUAAGACUGCUCUUUUCCUUGGUGUUUAAUAAAUAAGGGAAUCUACACGGAGAUACUACAAAUAUUCUAUCUUACCUAAACUUUAUCAACCAAGUUUAAAGUUUGCUGGCAUACUGUGUUAGUGUAAGGACAGUUACUACUUUCUGUACUAAUUUCACAUUUUUCUAAAAGAGGAUUUAUUCUUACCCAUGCAUCCGUUUGUUGUUUGUUCAAAUUACCAUGGAAUUGAUCUACAAUGUUAAACUAAUACCAUCAUUAUUUAGCUGAUUUUCACUAGGUCAGAGCUAAGGCUGAUUUUCUCCUGUUUAAUUUUGAAAUGUUCCCAUGUGUUUGUUUUCUGUUGUUAGCAUAUUUUAAACUCCCAUGAGCUUCAGGCUUAUCGUAUUCUGUAUAUGUACCAGGCUUGGGAUCAACUAUCAGUUGUAUCUCCAAGGAGCCCUUGUCCCUUCUUUUGAAAGUUGGUUCUUAGAAAGUAUUAACAUAAUAUUGGUACACCCUUGGAUUUCAUUACUUCUAUUUCCACGCAAACAAAAAGAUGGUGAAGAUACAUAUAUGCACUGUGGUGGCUUGAGAAAGAAUGCUCCUCACAUUGACUUAUAUAUUUGAAUACUUGAUGCUCCAUUAGAACUCUUUGGGAAGGAUUAGGAGGUGAGGCCUUGUUGGAAGAGGUAAGUCACUGGUGGCCAGCUUUGAGGUUUUAAAAGACUGGUGCCAUUCCUAAUGUGCCUCUCUCCCUCUUUUUCUUCUAGGUCAAUAUGUGAGCUCAGAGAUUUCCCUGCUUUUGUUCUGUCAUUAUGGAUUCUAAACUUCUGAAACUACAUACUCAAUUAAAUGUUUUCUUUUAUAAAUUAUA